UACGUAGGGGGGCUAGCGUUGUCCGGAAUCAUUGGGCGUAAAGAGCGUGUAGGCGGUCCGGUAAGUCCGCUGUGAAAGUCGGGGGCUCAACCCUCGAAUGCCGGUGGAUACUGUCGGGCUAGAGUGCGGAAGAGGCGAGUGGAAUUCCUGGUGUAGCGGUGAAAUGCGCAGAUAUCGAGGAGGAACACCUAUUGCGAAGGCAGCUCGCUGGGACGUAACUGACGCUGAGACGCGAAAAGCGUGGGGAGCAAACAGG
rnacentral:rRNA from 1 species